AUAUAAUCUGUCAGAGGUUUAAUUCCCAAACCGCUAACUAAGCAAUCCUGAAAUAGAACAACACAGAUGAUAGAUAGACAGACUGAACUUACCACUGACACAGCACUGAGCCAACAAUCUGACAACCAUAUCAUUAAGCUAAACUGCAACUUUUCUCAUGGAGGUCAUUAAACAAACACAGUGAACACAUGCCAGAAGAACUUGGCUCCUUCAGCAACAGAGAUUGUGAAAAUUCAGCUAGAGAGCUGAUGGGCUUAAAAUACCAACAUUACAUGAGAGCAAUCACCACCACCAUCACCACCACCACCACCACCACCAACAAUAACAACAACAGACAAUGAUGAUGAUGCCACCGUCAACAUCACCAACACCAAAACUACCGCUGCCACUACCACUGCCACCACAACCACCAAAUCUAUCAAGGCAUUUCGAUUCUUUGACUAAUGGAACUAGGAAUUUUAGGAAAAUAAAGCUUACAGAAAAUCUGACAGAAGAACGAAAAUGGAUAGCAACAGGUCACCGUGCCAAACUGUAUGUCUGAUGUCAGUAAAGAAAAUAUAUACACAUUGAACAACCUUACCAAGGACCUUAGUAUCAUAUACAGUAUGCUGCCUAAAUGGUUCUCAGAUGCUACUUCAUGUUCCAUGCCCUUUUAGUUUCGUAUGUAAAUCCCAAGUUUGGAUAUGAUAUAUGCACAUCUUUUCUCUUGGACUGAAACAAAUGAUAACAGUGAAGAAGAAAAAGGGAUGAAAGAAACUCCAUGGUUUUACAACAUAGAGAAAAAUCUUUCCGAAGAACAGAUUCUAGACAGA